CGUAGGGGGCAAGCGUUGUCCGGAAUUAUUGGGCGUAAAGAGCGCGUAGGCGGUCCGAUAAGUCGGCUGUGAAAGUCAGGGGCUCAACCCCUGAAUGCCGGCCGAUACUGUCGGGCUAGAGUCCGGAAGAGGCGAGUGGAAUUCCCGGUGUAGCGGUGAAAUGCGCAGAUAUCGGGAGGAACACCAAUGGCGAAGGCAGCUCGCUGGGACGGUACUGACGCUGAGGCGCGAAAGCGUGGGGAGCAAACAGGAUUAGAUACCCUGGUAGUCCACGCCGUAAACGAUGGGCACUAGGUGUGGGAGGUGUCGACUCCUCCCGUGCCGCAGCUAACGCAUUAAGUGCCCCGCCUGGGGAGUACGGCCGCAAGGCUA
rnacentral:rRNA from 1 species